GCCAGAGUGCAGUCUGACAAUGUGCUAUUCGCACCCCCCAAUGCACACUGCUUUCUUAAAUCUCUUGCCUGCUCUCUUUCUCUCACACACACACACACAUCCUCCACUAGUCCUGCUACAAUCUUACAAGCAGAUUGUAGAAACCUGGAGAGAAUCAGAGCAAAGAUCAGGGUAGCUGCAUCGCAUUCCUGUUUUCUGACUCAAGUGAGGGAGCCCCAGCUCAAGCCAGGAGGGGAGGAAGCAGGAUGCCAAGGACAGCCGGGAAAUCCACCUGGUCAGCAUCCUUCGCCUUGCCUUUGGUUUGGGUCCCCAGCUCUUACACCACUGUCUUUGGCCAUCAAUGCAGGCAGGAUAUUUGGUCCAUUAGGAGCUACAACUUACCCAUAGAGACGGGAUGUCCCCAUACAUCUUAUGAGUACCUUUCCAAGAUUGUUUUAUUAGUUGUACAUGACCACUGAGGAAGACACAUAUGUCGAAAUGCGUUUGGUCAACAUUUACUAUUUUGUAAUGGGCAUACUGUAUUAUCCCUUUUAAUUUGUUAGUCAUUGUGCACUCUCUAACCUGUUGUAUACCCUUUAAUCUCAUUCUGUGAGGCACAAAUGAACUGAUAUUUCAUGUACUGUAUAUGUUCCCAUGGGAUUUGCAGUUUUCUGGCCCAGUACUGAUUGCUCAUUUUAUGUUUAUGUCUGUUAGGGCGU